rnacentral:rRNA from 1 species
UACGGGGGGGGCAAGCGUUGUUCGGAAUUACUGGGCGUAAAGGGUGUGUAGGCGGUUGUUUAAGUUUGGGGUGAAAUCUCCCGGCUCAACUGGGAGGGUGCGCCGAAUACUGAAUGACUAGAGUGCGGGAGAGGAAAGUGGAAUUCCUGGUGUAGCGGUGAAAUGCGUAGAUAUCAGGAGGAACACCGGUGGUGUAGACGGCUUUCUGGACCGUAACUGACGCUGAGACACGAAAGCGUGGGUAGCAAACAGG